rnacentral:rRNA from 1 species
GUGGCGGAUGGGUUAGUAACACGUAGAUCAAACCCUAGAAACAGGCAUAACUCGGAGAAAUCCGAGCUAAUUCCUGAUAGUCCCCGUAUUAUCUCAUAGGGUAAAGGUGAAGAGCAAUCUUUUCCGUUCUAGGAUUGGUCUGCGGCCUAUCAGCUUGUUGGUAGGGUAAUGGCCUACCAAGGCGAUGACGGGUAGGCGGUGUGAGAGCACGACCGCCAACAGAGGGAUUGAGAACGGCCCUCACUCCUACGGGAGGCAGCAGUCGAGAAUAUUGCGCAAUGGGCGAAAGCCUGACGCAGCGACGCCGCGUGCGGGAUGAAGCCCUUCGGGGUGUAAACCGCUUUUCUGGAGGAAGAACCCGGUGACGGUACUCCAGGAAUAAGGGGAGGCUAACUCUGUGCCAGCAGCAGCGGCAAAACAGAGUCCCCAAGCGUUAUCCGGAUUUACUGGGCGUAAAGCGUUCGUAGGCGGUUUGUUAGGUCUUUUGUUAAAUUUUAGGGCUUAACUCUAAAGUUGCAGAAGAAACCGGCAAGCUAGAGGGAGUUAGGGGCUGGCGGAACGACAGGUGUAGGGGUGAAAUCCGUUGAUAUCUGUCGGAACACCAAAAGCGAAGGCAGCCAGCUGGAACGACCCUGACGCUGAGGAACGAAAGCGUGGGUAUAAAAAAGGAUUAGAUACCCUUGUAUUCCACGCUGUAAACGAUGGACACUAGCUAUUUGAAGUGUCGACCCUUCAAGUGGCGAAGCUAACGCGUUAAGUGUCCCGCCUGGGAAGUACGGCGGCAACGCUA